UGAUUGCCAAAGUUGAGGUCCAUAACAG
rnacentral:sRNA from 1 species